UGAUUAUGUCCAUGGAGGUGCA
rnacentral:misc_RNA from 1 species